AGGGGUUUAGGAUUAGUAUUAAGACCCAAAGCCUUCAAAGCUUAAAGCAGGAGUGAAAAUCUCCUAAUCCCUG
rnacentral:tRNA from 1 species